rnacentral:lncRNA from 1 species
CUGCAUCUGAGCCCAUACCCUGUCCUCUCCUCUGUGGAUCCCAGUGAGCUCACCAGGAGACUGGGGAGCUGCGGGGAAAGUGUGGAGUCAACUUCCUAUUUCAGGGUGUGCCCAUUACCUUCUAGUGUAGAGUCAUGCAUGGACUUAGAUCUUAGCUUCAGCUCCAGAGGGAUGCCUUCCUGGACCAUGCUUCCUAAAACAGGGCUCUCAAAAGCUAGUUCUUUCCUUCACAGCAUUCACCACCAUUUAGUUGUGAAGACUUCAAAGGGUUCCAGGCUCUGGGGAUACCACAAAGAGAAAAUGAGCCCACCCCACACUCUCAUGCAACCUGCAUUCUGCUGAGAAUUGAGAGAGGCUAAGAAUAACAAUCACACAAGUAACUAAGACAAUUUCAGCGAGGGUUAAGAGCUGUGAGAAGGACAGAAGGCAGUGACAUGAUAGAAAGUGACUGGGAACAAAGAACUGAGGCUGGGGCCCAGAACAGGCUCUCCGAGGAGGAGAUCAUUGACAGAGACCUGGACACUGAGAAAGAGCCAACUACACCAAGAUCUGGGAGGCAAGCUUUUCGGGCAGUGAAAAAAGCAAGUCAGCAGCAGCCCUACGAGUGAGUUUGGUGUGUUCAAAGAACUGGAAGGAGGCCGGUGAGCAGGAGCGAGAGCUGGAUACAGCUGGAGGGGAGAUGCACCUGCGGAAUGUGGCAAGGGCAGUUCCAGGCUUGUCCAGCCUGCCCGUCUGGGUCCUGCCCCAUGACUCACCUUACAACAGGUAGCUGCUCUUCCCUUCCCUUGGGAAAAAUGUCACAGAGGCAGAGGGUACUUUGGAGCAGUGGAAAAGGGGAGACUUUUGGAAAACAGUUGCUCAACCUUAAGAGCAUGGCUUGAUCCGUGGUAUAUAGAUCUACGACUGGGCUCUGAACCUGCGAACCCUGGGCCCCUGAGGCGGAGCAUGCCAACUCAACUGUCGGGCCUGACCCUAUAUGUGUUCUUAGAUUUCUACUACUCCUAACCUCAAAGGAACUUGAGGUACUGUGACGAGGAGUAAACACAUAAUAUCCCAGUUUCAUGCAAUGGAAGCAGCAACAGAAACAGGAAGUAAACCAGAAGAAUUUAAAAGCAAGCAAGCAAAUAAACAUGUUCCAAGCAAAAGCAAGAAAAGUUUUUGUAGAAAUGAUAGUAGUCGAAAGCCUAGACAUGAUACGAAGAGGUGAGCCUCUACUCUCACCAUCCACUUUUUUCACCUUGGUGCCUGAUUCUGACCACCGAUCUGAUUCCUCCUCGCCCAAGUUCCACUGACGCGGAGCUUUCGUUGUAGAAGCUUUGACCGAAUGUUUGAUGGUGGAGACAGAGAUCAUCUUGGGUUGCUAUACAAA